AGCGGAAACAUAAUAUACUUGGCUUGCACGAGGGCAAGCGAUAGCCAAAGUGAAAGUACUAAACUAAACAACAUGCAAGUAAUAUGAUUAACUUUAAAUCACAUACAUGCAUAUAACUUAUACAUUUACAUUCUUUUUUUUAACAUCAUUUCUUCUCUUUUACAUCACAUCAUAUCUCAAAAUAUAACUCUAUGCAAUUAAACAUAAAAUCUUUUACAUCAUUCAUAUUCUUUUUGUAACGCCCCCAAUAGUCUCACAUCGGAUGGGAUACUGAUUUCGAUCCGUUUAUAUGAGGCCUACACGCUAGUAAAAAAAAAAAAAAAAACUGGGCUUAAGUAUUUUGGGCCGGUGUUUGGGCAUAACGAGUUAUUGUUGCUAGCGGGUCGAGUCGUUGCAACUGGUAUCAGAGCUGAAUACCAGCCGAAGGUGUGAGAACUAAGUGCUAUGCGGGACAAAGUGCUACACCAACGGGUUUGGU
rnacentral:lncRNA from 1 species